CGGCUUGCUCGUAAUUUCCAACCAUCCCCCGCUCGCUCUUUUCUCCGCAGCUGGAGCUGAGUUUUGCCCAAUCGCCGACAGCUUCUUGGUGGAGAGUGAAAGGCAGCGAGACGAAUAUGAGGAUCGUUGGAUUGACAGGAGGGAUCGCCUCAGGAAAGAGCACCGUUUCUGGUCUCUUUAGAUCCAGCGGUGUGCCUGUCGUGGACGCCGAUCUUGUCGCCCGGGAUGUUGUAAAAAAAGGAACACCUGGAUGGAGAAAGGUUGCUACUGCAUUUGGAGAUGAUAUUUUGCUUGAAAAUGGAGAGAUCAAUAGAUCACGCCUUGGGCAAAUUGUUUUUUCUGAUCCAGCAAAACGUCAACUUCUAAACCGUCUUUUAGCUCCACAUAUAUCUUCUGGCAUAUUUUGGGAAAUUAUGAAGCUUUGGGUGAAGGGAUGCAAGGUUGUUGUCCUUGACAUCCCAUUAUUAUUUGAAACUAAGAUUGAUCGAAGAACGAAACCUAUUAUCGUCGUAUGGGUAAAUCCCGAAACACAGCUUCAGCGGCUCAUGGCGAGAGAUGGAAUAUCGGAAGAGGAGGCUAGAAACAAGAUCAAUGCUCAGACUUCACUGGACUGGAAGAAGACUAAGGCUGACAUUGUCAUCGAUAACUCUGGUUCAAUAGAGGAUACAAGAACUCAGUUUCAGAAUGUGCUGAAGCAGGUCACAGCAUCCUUGAGUUGGAAAGAAUUUGCCUUCUCCAGAGAAAGCGUGGCUGUGGUUCUUUUCUCUCUAUUUAUUGGCGCCUGGAUGUUACACAGUCGCAUUUGAUUGAUUACUGGAUACCUUCCUCAAAAAUUUGCUUGGGAAGAUAUUUAUUGAUGUUUUGCAAGCCGUUUCUUCUUAUUUUGCAAGACAAUAAUCAGGAUAAUUAGAAAAAGGUACAAAGCUCCAGUUGAUGGCACUGCACAGUUAAUAAAAUUCUCUCUAUUGACAUCACUCCCUUCACCUAUAAGUUCUCCAAUUCUCAAUAGAAUUUCAACUGUUUUUUCAUUAUUAUUGACUCUAUUUUCAUAUUCCAUGAGGUUGUAGAGAAUAUUUUCUGGAAACAAGCAGUUUUUUUUUUUUUUUGAAACAAGCAGAUAUUGUCGCAAAUGUUGAGAAACAGUUUAGGGUUUAUUUUGUAAUAUCUGUACCCCUUAUUUUCAAAUUUAACCUUGCUUUUUCAUUACC